AAGGCCCUAGCUUAAUUAAAGUGUCUGGGUUGCAUCCAGGCGAUGUAGGGUAGUUUCCUACGGGUCUUA
rnacentral:tRNA from 1 species